rnacentral:rRNA from 1 species
CAAGUCGAGUGCGCGCCUGUAGCAAUACAGGUGGCGCACGGCGCACGGGUGCGUAACACGUGGGUAAUCUGCCCUUCGAUGGGGAAUAACUCGCCGAAAGGCGAGCUAAUUCCGCAUAACAUUCCGAGGACUUUGGUUCUUGGAUUCAAAGGCGUAAGUCGUCGGAGGAGGAGCCCGCGCACGAUUAGCUAGUUGGUGAGGUAAUGGCUCACCAAGGCUAUGAUCGUUAGCUGGUCUGAGAGGAUGGCCAGCCACACUGGAACUGAGACACGGUCCAGACUCCUACGAGAGGCAGCAGUGGGGAAUCUUGCACAAUGGGCGAAAGCCUGAUGCAGCGACGCCGCGUGGGGGAUGAAGCUUUUCGGAGUGUAAACCCCUUUCGACCCGGACGAAUGCCUCGCAAGAGGACUGACGGUACGGGUAUAAGAAGCCCCGGCUAACUACGUGCCAGCAGCCGCGGUAAGACGUAGGGGGCCAGCGUUGCUCGGAAUUACUGGGUGUAAAGGGUUCGUAGGCGGUGUGGCAAGUCGGGAGUGAAAUCUCUGGGCUCAACCCAGAGUCUGCUUCCGAAACUGCUGUGCUUGAGUGUGGGAGAGGCGCGUGGAAUUGCAGGUGUAGCGGUGAAAUGCGUAGAUAUCUGCAGGAACACCCGUGGCGAAAGCGGCGCGCUGGACCACUACUGACGCUGAGGAACGAAAGCUAGGGGAGCAAACAGGAUUAGAUACCCUGGUAGUCCUAGCCCUAAACGAUCAGGACUUGGGGUGCCGCCCGUUCGGGCGUCNUCCCGGANCUAACNCGUUAAGUCCUGCACCUGGGGAGUACGGUCNCAAGACUGAAACUCAAAGGAAUUGACGGGGGCCC